rnacentral:rRNA from 1 species
ACAUGCAAGUCGAACGAUGAAGCCGGGGCUUUUUGUUUUGGUGGAUUAGUGGCGAACGGGUGAGUAAUACGUGAGUAACCUGCCCUUGUCUUUGGGAUAAGCCUGGGAAACUGGGUCUAAUACCGGAUAUUCUGCUUUUGCCGCAUGGUGGGGGUUGGAAAGAUUUUUUGGAUGGGGAUGGGCUCACGGCCUAUCAGCUUGUUGGUGGGGUGAUGGCCUACCAAGGCGUCGACGGGUAGCCGGCCUGAGAGGGUGACCGGCCACAUUGGGACUGAGAUACGGCCCAGACUCCUACGGGAGGCAGCAGUGGGGAAUAUUGCACAAUGGACGCAAGUCUGAUGCAGCGACGCCGCGUGGGGGAUGAAGGCUUUCGGGUUGUAAACUCCUUUCAGUACAGAAGAAGCAUUUUUGUGACGGUAUGUGCAGAAGAAGCGCCGGCUAACUACGUGCCAGCAGCCGCGGUAAUACGUAGGGCGCGAGCGUUGUCCSGAAUUAUUGGGCGUAAAGAGCUC